rnacentral:rRNA from 1 species
GUGUCAGCAGCCGCGGUAAUACGUAGGGGGCCAGCGUUGUUCGGAAUUACUGGGUGUAAAGGGUUCGUAGGCGGUGCGGCAAGUUGGGAGUGAAAUCUCUGGGCUCAACCCAGAGGCUGCUUCCAAAACUGCUGUGCUUGAGUGUGAGAGAGGCUCGUGGAAUUGCAGGUGUAGCGGUGAAAUGCGUAGAUAUCUGCAGGAACACCCGUGGCGAAAGCGGCGAGCUGGAUCACUACUGACGCUGAAGAACGAAAGCUAGGGGAGCAAACAGGAUUAGAAACCCCAGUAGUCC